rnacentral:piRNA from 1 species
UGGUGGAUGCGCACACUGCCGAAGUC